rnacentral:rRNA from 1 species
GAUGAACGCUGGCGGCGUGCCUAAUACAUGCAAGUCGAGCGAACAGACGAGGAGCUUGCUCCUCUGACGUUAGCGGCGGACGGGUGAGUAACACGUGGAUAACCUACCUAUAAGACUGGGAUAACUUCGGGAAACCGGAGCUAAUACCGGAUAAUAUAUUGAACCGCAUGGUUCAAUAGUGAAAGACGGUUUUGCUGUCACUUAUAGAUGGAUCCGCGCCGCAUUAGCUAGUUGGUAAGGUAACGGCUUACCAAGGCAACGAUGCGUAGCCGACCUGAGAGGGUGAUCGGCCACACUGGAACUGAGACACGGUCCAGACUCCUACGGGAGGCAGCAGUAGGGAAUCUUCCGCAAUGGGCGAAAGCUUGACGGAGCAACGCCGCGUGAGUGAUGAAGGUCUUCGGAUCGUAAAACUCUGUUACUAGGGAGGAACAAAUGUGUAAGUAACUAUGCACGUCUUGACGGUACCUAAUCAGAAAGCCACGGCUAACUACGUG